rnacentral:ncRNA from 1 species
UAACUGGCUUGUCGCAGCCAAGCGUCUGCUGCAACGUUGCUUUUUGAUCUUCUGAUCUCGGCUCUUCCUAUCAUUUCGAAGCAAAAUUCGCCAAGCGUUGGGUUGUUCUCCCACUAAUAGGGAACGUGAGCUGGGUUUAGACCGUCGUUAGACAAGUC